rnacentral:rRNA from 1 species
AUUGAACGCUGGCGGCAGGCCUAACACAUGCAAGUCGAGCGGAUGAAGGGAGCUUGCUCCUGGAUUCAGCGGCGGACGGGUGAGCAAUGCCUAGGAAUCUACCUGGUAGUGGGGGAUAACGUCCGGAAACGGGCGCUAAUACCGCAUACGUCCUGAGGGAGAAAGUGGGGGAUCUUCGGACCUCACGCUAUCAGAUGAGCCUAGGUCGGAUUAGCUAGUUGGUGGGGUAAAGGCCUACCAAGGCGACGAUCCGUAACUGGUCUGAGAGGAUGAUCAGUCACACUGGAACUGAGACACGGUCCAGACUCCUACGGGAGGCAGCAGUGGGGAAUAUUGGACAAUGGGCGAAAGCCUGAUCCAGCCAUGCCGCGUGUGUGAAGAAGGUCUUCGGAUUGUAAAGCACUUUAAGUUGGGAGGAAGGGCAGUAAGUUAAUACCUUGCUGUUUUGACGUUACCAACAGAAUAAGCACCGGCUAACUUCGUG